UACGUAGGGUGCAAGCGUUGUCCGGAAUUAUUGGGCGUAAAGAGCUCGUAGGCGGUUUGUCGCGUCGGCUGUGAAAACUCGGGGCUCAACCCCGAGCCUGCAGUCGAUACGGGCAGACUAGAGUGCUGUAGGGGAGACUGGAAUUCCUGGUGUAGCGGUGAAAUGCGUAGAUAUCAGGAGGAAUACCGGUGGCGAAAGCGACUCUCUGGACGGCAACUGACGCUGAGGCACGAAAGCGUGGGGAGCAAACAGG
rnacentral:rRNA from 1 species